UUUAAAAAAAAAAUAGAAUUCUAUUAUUUGGUGGUUUCUUCAUAUAAAAUUGCUUUCAGAAAUGAAAAAUAUGCUCAAAGGUAGAUAAACAGCAGCAAGGGAGGAAGGACACUAUCAUCCAUAGGCCGUGGUAAGAGCAAUUCUAAGACAUGAUGCUGACUGUACAUGUCCGUAGCUGAUUUCAUGCAGUCACUUUAAAGUGUAAGGCCACAGAGACUGGCCUCUGUCUCAGGGCACUGCCGACCUGCUUAGUCUCCGAGGCUCCCAACAAAGAGAAAACCGAAGCGUGAGCACAGUAAAACUGGACUCCCUGGGCUCAGACUCCUCAGAAUGGUCAAUUCAUCAGAAAGCUUUUCUCCUCCAGGCACUGAUUAGAGAAAAAGCUAAGUGACAAGGAACUGCUCACAGCAGAAGUUUGCUCCAGAAACGAGCUUCCAGAAAACUGCCGGAACCCUGAGCCUCGAGAACCAGCUUCUGAAGAGGUGACCCUGAAUGGUGGGAAACCCUCGAAUACCGAAGACCCUGCUCUUCCCAACGCACGCAGCGCCAGCCGGGAAAGGGACGUCCUGUGCAGACUCGCCUCGAGGCAGGCCACGCACCAAACAUCCCAGAGCUGAGCGGCGGUUUCCCUGGCGUCGGCCCCUUCUUCCCACCCAUAGCUCCCCAAUUCCCUGUGUCCUAACCCCAUUCGCUACUCCUCAAACAUUCCGGGCACGUGUGCUGAUCCCUGUGCCUGGAGCAGAAGACCCAGCAUCGAACAGUCAUUCAACAUCCAGGCACACUAACUGAGCACAAGAAAAGCACUGUCCGUGCCCUGGUGAUCCAGCAAAAUCCCCACCCUCGGGACACGUAAAUCGCAAGGAGGGUCGCAGACAACCGACCAGGCCUCAGCUGGGGAGCCUUGCGAUCGCAAACACCUGCCGGUCUGUCCCUAGAGUGCGUCACAUGCCAAGCAGUAUGGCUGGGGUCUUAGGAAACUGGGUCCAUUUCAGGCUCCAAAUAGAAUCUCUUCCUUCAUUUUAACGUAGAACGUCCAGAGCUGCUGGCCACGAGACAGGGUGUAGCACGGGCCACGUCAUUCCAGGAUAGUCAACGGGACAACCCAAGUGCGGGGCACACAAGAGCGGCUCCAGAAACGUGAGCGGCUUCCCCAGCAACACCAGCUGUGUACGGACUGUCCCAGCGCGGCCUCACUAUCCAGUCCCCGUCCUCCAGAGUCAAACAGCCCUGUCUCUGAGGACGCAGCGUGCAGCGGGGAGAGCGGACAGACAGAGCUAAAUAACCUAGGACAGGGAUACCACGUCUUGAAAACCCUGAGGCGUCAGGCUUCCGUGUGAAAAAUUAACUGAGUGCCUGGAAGACCAUCUCCGGAGGGGCCUUCCCUCCAACUGUGGGACGGGAACUAUGCGGUCAGGUUCCUCCACGCUCCCACAGCAGCGGCGGCCGGUGAGGCUUCCAGAGACAGGGACGGGAGCAGGCUAACCUGUCCCAAGCCAGGCAAGUGCCCCGGGCGCUCAGCAAGCUUCCUGCAGGUGAGCAAAGCCCGCGGCAGUGCGGAGAAGGGGAGGAACUCGUGGCUGGCCUCCCUCCCAGGGUGGGACACUCGCCUGUCUCUCUGGGUCCUCACAGUCUUCUUCGGUUUGCUUCUUGGUCUUAUCAGGGCGCCACGGCUGCCAGUGUCUCUGGUCUCGGGACCGCUCAGCGGCGAGCCAGAUCUGCCACCUGGGCAGACUCUUAUCUCUUAUUUCCUGGUCCUCGUCUUCUGGCUCGUCAUCAUCAUCAUCUAGACGAGAGCAAAACUUUUAGCUCACCUCAUCAGCAAAUAAACCCACCACGGAUGCCCAACCAGUCUGCGACACCAGCUUCUGUGGUGGGCCUCUGGAGGGCCAGACAGUGUUCUUAAAGACUGACAAAAGAGCUUCUACAUAUAAACAAAUAAUCAGAAAGAUGUGAAAACACAUUCCAGAAGAAGGCAAAGGCGUACGCAUCCUAAAGAGAGGUGCCUUACCUGGACUGAUGACCACCCAGCCGCCUCGCUCCUGCUGGUGCAUCCAGGCUCUCCAGCCUCGGGCGCCCUUCUCCCCAGCCCGGGGCUCCCCACUGUCCCAGAAGGGCUCAAAGAAUUCCACCUGUUCAGGUUCAAAAUACAGAGGCAGGUCUUUCACGCUGUCUGGCUUGAAGAAGGUGAAGUCCACCAUGGCCUGGAAGAGCGAGAUCGCCUUCUCCGAGUGACCGGCCUGCCGCAGGAAGUGACAGUGCUGAAGAAAGAGAGCUGAAAGCAGGGAGAGCAGGAGGGAGAAUCCUGGUUAACAUCAAUUCAAGGGAAAGAACACAACUUCUAACAACAUGCGUUUCAACACCGAGAACAUCUUUUCUCCGAAAUUAGUUCCUGUGAUCUUCUCAAAAGCUGUACUAAUUACAUGUCCUCAUUAAAAGGACUCACCACAGAACUGUAAUCAAAGUACAUUUAUUCCAAUUUUUAUAUGAAACCACUGUGGAAUACAAAUAUUAACAAAAACUAUAUAUGCUGCAUAAAAGUAAGGCAAGAGAACGGGGCGCCUGGGUAGCUCAGUCGAUUAGGUG